rnacentral:piRNA from 1 species
UUNGCUGGUGUUUUAUCUGCCUCAUUGGCAUU